ACCGUGGUAGCCAGAAUAGUCUCCAUCUCCUGACUUUGUGAUCCACCUACCUCAGCCUCCCAAAGUGCUGGGAUUACAGGCGUGACCCACUGCCCCUGGCCCCGACUUCUUAAUUCUAAGACUACUUUAAUGCAUGAUCCCAACAGCCCUGCAAAGUGGGUAGUAUAUCAUUUAUCUGUGUUUUAGAUGUAGACACAGGCACAGUAAAGUUGAGUAACUUCCCCAAGGUCACAUGAUUAAUCCUGGGCAGGGCCUAGAUUUGAACUUAGGCAGUCUGGCUUCAGCACCUAUGUUCUUAACCGCUGAGCUAAACUCAGUGACUCAAGUGCAUCAUAGAACCUCGAGAACCUAAGUUUCCUCAUCUCUGAAAUGGGAAUAGCAACACUUACCUUACUAAAUUGUAAGGAUCAAAUAAUUAUUUGGGAGGAUACACUAAAUUGUGACAUGCUAAAGCAUAACAGUCUGGGGGAAAUGUUGAUAUGAUAUUUUCUGUUAGGUGAGUCUUACUGGUGAGUUUGUCCUUUGCUGCUUGGAUAUACUGCUGGUUCAGAGAAAAAGCUGUUUUUCUUAAGCCUGUUCUGAAACCACAGAAAACCUCAGGUUUCACAAUGAAACUGAUCCUUUUUCUCCAAAAUGGUGGCAUUUGGAAGCAUUUAGAGGAUAAGCAAAAUUAACUAUAACGUAUUUAAUAUGCCAAUUAAGUUCAAUAUCAUUGUUUCCCUUUUACUAUAAUCCCCCUUUAAUGUGGCACUUGACACUCCCUCCCUUUUUUUUCUAAAUCAUGCAAAGUACAUUUUCUUUCCAGUGUCUAUUCGCCAUAUACCAUGGACUUAUCACUGACUAUUCACUGGAAAGUUUUCUUUCCAGUGUCUAUUCAUCACCAUAUACCGUGGACUAUCUAUUCAGUGAUAAGUCCAUGGUAUAUGGUGAUGAAUAGUCAGUGGAAAGAAUAUACAGUCAUGGUAAAUAAGUUUUCUUUCCAGUGUCUAUUCACCAUAUACCAUGGACUUAUCACUGACUGUCACUCAGUGUGUAAUACUGGAUCUGGGACCAUGUCUUGUACUGCCAGCACAGGGCCCUGAAACAGAAGAGAUAUUGAGCAAGGUGUAGGCCAGUGGAAGAGAGGUGGAAAACAAGUCCAAAGAUGAAGAUUUAGGAGGGCCACAGACUAAAAUGACUGUGCUUCAAAAUGUAGGACAGGGGACCAGAGCUGCAGAAGGGUCAGCUGGGUGGGAUUGGAAGAGGACCUGGAAAGAAAACAGAAGAGAAUGCGGAGAAAGACAAGCCUAACAGGAGACUGGUUGUUCUCUUGCAGCCGCUUUACAGGGGAGUGAAGCCUUCCUCCUCCGUUUGAUGCUGGGCCUGCCUUUCUGCUAUGCAGCUUCUCUGUGUCUGUGGGUCUAACACCUUCGUUUCCCAUUAUGUUCACAUGAGUCAGGCUGUCGGGGAUCUGAGCUCUUACAGUCCCACAAGGGAAGUGGAGAGCCAAAGGCCUGACUUUUUGUGAUUCUUUGGAGCUUUUAUACACCCUAGAAAUUUGAGUUUUUUUCCUGGUGUUUUCUGGGACUGGUAUUGCAUACCCAGGGUCACCCUGUUUUGGGGCUUUUCCAAGUGGAGUUUGUGAUUAUAAUGAGUUAUGUUUUUCCUCCUUUCUGGAUAAGAACAAUAUCCUUGCCAUUCAAUCUCCAAAUAGAGCAAGUGGUUAUGAUAGAAGAAUAUCCUUAUGUUAGAAAAGAAGUUGGCAGUCUCAAUGAGGCAGAAAUGUCGAAUUUAGAAAACAUGUCUAAAAGGAAAAGCUGCUGUAAGUCCUUUUUGGAAUCAGGUGGAAUAUAAAUGAAUAAAUAAAAAAUUUCAAAGAAAAUGUGUGGUCUGACAACACUUUCUACUUUCUCUCUUUAGUCUUACAGGUACUUGUUGAUAUUGCCUUAACUUCAGAUGUAAUUUUUUUUGUCAUUUCACUAAAAUGUCAGACUCCAAACUCAUCUGGCAUCUAAUUGGGAGAAUAACUUGGAUGAAGAUUUUCUAGCUGAUGCAUGUAAU